rnacentral:rRNA from 1 species
GGUUAAGCGACUAAGCGUACACGGUGGAUGCCCUGGCAGUCAGAGGCGAUGAAGGGCGUGCUAAUCUGCGAUAAGCGCCGGUAAGGUGAUAUGAACCGUUAUAACCGGCGAUACCCGAAUGGGGAAACCCAGUGUGACUCGUCACACUAUCAUUAACUGAAUCCAUAGGUUAAUGAGGCGAACCGGGGGAACUGAAACAUCUAAGUACCCCGAGGAAAAGAAAUCAACCGAGAUUCCCCCAGUAGCGGCGAGCGAACGGGGAGGAGCCCAGAGCCUGAAUCAGCAUGUGUGUUAGUGGAAGCGUCUGGAAAGGCGCGCGAUACAGGGUGACAGCCCCGUACACAAAAGCGCAUGUGCUGUGAGCUCGAUGAGUAGGGCGGGACACGUGGUAUCCUGUCUGAAUAUGGGGGGACCAUCCUCCAAGGCUAAAUACUCCUGACUGACCGAUAGUGAACCAGUACCGUGAGGGAAAGGCGAAAAGAACCCCGGCGAGGGGAGUGAAAAAGAACCUGAAACCGUGUACGUACAAGCAGUGGGAGCCCCACCACCAAAGCAUUCUCUGGUGUUGAAGGCCCUGCAAAGCAGCAUCGCGGUGGCGGAGCGUCGUUUGCGACGCCCAACACACAAAACAAGCGGUGAAUGCUUUGGGGUGGGGUGACUGCGUACCUUUUGUAUAAUGGGUCAGCGACUUAUAUUCUGUAGCAAGGUUAACCGAAUAGGGGAGCCGGAGGGAAACCGAGUCUUAAUUGGGCGUUAAGUUGCAGGGUAUAGACCCGAAACCCGGUGAUCUAGCCAUGGGCAGGUUGAAGGUUGGGUAACACUAACUGGAGGACCGAACCGACUAAUGUUGAAAAAUUAGCGGAUGACCUGUGGCUGGGGGUGAAAGGCCAAUCAAACCGGGAGAUAGCUGGUUCUCCCCGAAAGCUAUUUAGGUAGCGCCUCGUGAAUUCAUCUCCGGGGGUAGAGCACUGUUUCGGCUAGGGGGCCAUCCCGGCUUACCAACCCGAUGCAAACUGCGAAUACCGGAGAAUGUUAUCACGGGAGACACACGGCGGGUGCUAACGUCCGUCGUGAAGAGGGAAACAACCCAGACCGCCAGCUAAGGUCCCAAAGUCAUGGUUAAGUGGGAAACGAUGUGGGAAGGCCCAGACAGCCAGGAUGUUGGCUUAGAAGCAGCCAUCAUUUAAAGAAAGCGUAAUAGCUCACUGGUCGAGUCGGCCUGCGCGGAAGAUGUAACGGGGCUAAACCAUGCACCGAAGCUGCGGCAGCGACACUGUGUGUUGUUGGGUAGGGGAGCGUUCUGUAAGCCUGUGAAGGUGUGUCGUGAGGCAUGCUGGAGGUAUCAGAAGUGCGAAUGCUGACAUAAGUAACGAUAAAGCGGGUGAAAAGCCCGCUCGCCGGAAGACCAAGGGUUCCUGUCCAACGUUAAUCGGGGCAGGGUGAGUCGACCCCUAAGGCGAGGCCGAAAGGCGUAGUCGAUGGGAAACGGGUUAAUAUUCCCGUACUUGGUGUUACUGCGAAGGGGGGACGGAGAAGGCUAUGUUGGCCGGGCGACGGUUGUCCCGGUUUAAGCGUGUAGGUGUGUGUUCCAGGUAAAUCCGGUUCACUUUAACACUGAGGCGUGACGACGAGGCACUACGGUGCUGAAGCAACAAAUGCCCUGCUUCCAGGAAAAGCCUCUAAGCAUCAGGUAACAUCAAAUCGUACCCCAAACCGACACAGGUGGUCAGGUAGAGAAUACCAAGGCGCUUGAGAGAACUCGGGUGAAGGAACUAGGCAAAAUGGUGCCGUAACUUCGGGAGAAGGCACGCUGACACGUAGGUGAAGUGAUUUACUCACGGAGCUGAAGUCAGUCGAAGAUACCAGCUGGCUGCAACUGUUUAUUAAAAACACAGCACUGUGCAAACACGAAAGUGGACGUAUACGGUGUGACGCCUGCCCGGUGCCGGAAGGUUAAUUGAUGGGGUCAGCGCAAGCGAAGCUCCUGAUCGAAGCCCCGGUAAACGGCGGCCGUAACUAUAACGGUCCUAAGGUAGCGAAAUUCCUUGUCGGGUAAGUUCCGACCUGCACGAAUGGCGUAAUGAUGGCCAGGCUGUCUCCACCCGAGACUCAGUGAAAUUGAACUCGCUGUGAAGAUGCAGUGUACCCGCGGCAAGACGGAAAGACCCCGUGAACCUUUACUAUAGCUUGACACUGAACAUUGAGCCUUGAUGUGUAGGAUAGGUGGGAGGCUUUGAAGUGUGGACGCCAGUCUGCAUGGAGCCGACCUUGAAAUACCACCCUUUAAUGUUUGAUGUUCUAACGUGGACCCGUUACCCGGGUUGCGGACAGUGUCUGGUGGGUAGUUUGACUGGGGCGGUCUCCUCCUAAAGAGUAACGGAGGAGCACGAAGGUUGGCUAAUCCUGGUCGGACAUCAGGAGGUUAGUGCAAUGGCAUAAGCCAGCUUGACUGCGAGCGUGACGGCGCGAGCAGGUGCGAAAGCAGGUCAUAGUGAUCCGGUGGUUCUGAAUGGAAGGGCCAUCGCUCAACGGAUAAAAGGUACUCCGGGGAUAACAGGCUGAUACCGCCCAAGAGUUCAUAUCGACGGCGGUGUUUGGCACCUCGAUGUCGGCUCAUCACAUCCUGGGGCUGAAGUAGGUCCCAAGGGUAUGGCUGUUCGCCAUUUAAAGUGGUACGCGAGCUGGGUUUAGAACGUCGUGAGACAGUUCGGUCCCUAUCUGCCGUGGGCGCUGGAGAACUGAGGGGGGCUGCUCCUAGUACGAGAGGACCGGAGUGGACGCAUCACUGGUGUUCGGGUUGUCAUGCCAAUGGCACUGCCCGGUAGCUAAAUGCGGAAGAGAUAAGUGCUGAAAGCAUCUAAGCACGAAACUUGCCCCGAGAUGAGUUCUCCCUGAGACUUAGAGUCUCCUGAAGGAACGUUGAAGACGACGACGUUGAUAGGCCGGGUGUGUAAGCGCAGCGAUGCGUUGAGCUAACCGGUACUAAUGAACCGUGAGGCUUAACCUU